rnacentral:rRNA from 1 species
GACGAACGCUGGCGGCGUGCUUAACACAUGCAAGUCGAACGAAGAGCGAUGGAAGCUUGCUUCUAUCAAUCUUAGUGGCGAACGGGUGAGUAACGCGUAAUCAACCUGCCCUUCAGAGGGGGACAACAGUUGGAAACGACUGCUAAUACCGCAUACGAUCUAAUCUCGGCAUCGAGGAAAGAUGAAAGGUGGCCUCUAUUUAUAAGCUAUCACUGAAGGAGGGGAUUGCGUCUGAUUAGCUAGUUGGAGGGGUAACGGCCCACCAAGGCGAUGAUCAGUAGCCGGUCUGAGAGGAUGAACGGCCACAUUGGGACUGAGACACGGCCCAGACUCCUACGGGAGGCAGCAGUGGGGAAUCUUCCGCAAUGGACGAAAGUCUGACGGAGCAACGCCGCGUGAGUGAUGACGGCCUUCGGGUUGUAAAGCUCGGUUAAUCGGGACGAAAGGCCUUCUUGCGAACAGUUAGAAGGAUUGACGGUACCGGAAUAGAAAGCCACGGCUAACUACGUG